rnacentral:lncRNA from 1 species
CUCCGCCGCGGGCUCUGCCCGCUCGCCUGCUCGCCUGGUGGGGGAGAGGGGAGCGGGGCCGACACAGGGUUCCUGACCAAGCUGGUGCUUCUGCGUGUGUUCCUGCAUGACUUGGUGUGUCCCCUUCUCUUGGAUCUACUGCAGUUGACAGCAGAUAACUGAAAGCUCGGAAAGCGAAACCGUGGAUAAGCAGGGGAACUGUGGCAUCCCAUUUAAAAUUGCUUCUGAAGAGAAGCAUGAGGUUACAUCUGUAAUCUCCCUGCAGCAGAGUCAACUGCAUAAGAAACCAAAAGACACACCUGCUCCAUGCCAGCUUCGAUAAUUUCUUUGUACCUUCGGCGAAAGAAGCCCAUCUGAAAGGCAGAAAGAAAGAGAAGCUGAGUUAGAAGUGCUGAAGAAUCAGCCAUUGUGACCCCAAGGCAGUCUGUCCCUGGGUAGGUGUGACCUGCACUCACAGGGCUGGGGAGGCUUGGAGGACCCCUCGGAUUAGAGAAAACACUGGCAAGAAAAA